GAGCGCGCCUCUAUCGCCCGGAGAGGGACCGGGGGUUUCCUCUUCGGCAUCGCUCCGGUGAACGUGGGCUGUGCCAACCGGGCGCCCACAUAGGUUGCAUGGCAGCCGCGGCGCGAGCGAAUAGAACUCCAUGGAUGUGUUGGAAGUAAGCGCCGGGAGCAUUUGGUGAUGUUUGGGGGAGGAAGGCACAAGCCACCAAGGCCCUAUUCCCUCCAUCUUGAGCCUUCCAUGGUGAUAUGCAGCAGCACAGGGAAGUAUGAAGCACUGAGGGACAGAAGUCAGCGUUUAAAAUUAACUUUGUUUCAACGUAAAUGACCAUGCAAGUUUCAGAUUAACUAAGGGAGGACCAGGGGUAGAAUAGCAGAAGUACUUAAGGUGCCUCUUUUAAAAGUUCUGUUUUGCAUAUCUAAAGAUCAGGGAGAUGUUUAGAAAAGUGAUUAUACACAUGUGCUUAUGUUUACUGUCCUAACAGGAGAUGAUGAUCCGCAUUAUCUUAAAUGCUAGAUAUGUCUUGGAUGCAUCUGUGUCACCUCAUUAAUUUCAGGGGAACUGUAUUGAUUUAAGUUAGUGAAGGCACUAACCCAGCUAAGUUUUAAAUAAUUAGAAUAGUAUUCUCCCUCUUUUUCAGUCAGAUUUGCCCUUCAUGUUACUUGUGUUUCAUAAUCCUCCUAGCUCUCCAUUUUGUCAUUACAAGACCAGCAUCUCUACUGUAGGAAAAAAAAAAAAAGAGAGAGGACACCCCCCCCACCUCCCUCCCAAAGAUAGUCUUUUAACAAUCUGCUCUUUAUAUUAAUGUUUAAAUAAAUUUAGGACACCAAUGAACCGUUUUUUUUAAUAGGCCCAUUUAGUUUCAGUUUCUUACACAGUUAUUUUUUAGAGCCAGAAGCUCUCAGGAAGAGAAUGUGUUCGAUGCACCAGAACCCUUUAGGGUUUUGAUAAAAGACAUGAUAUCAUGAGUACCAUCUCCACUUCUGUUAUUCUUCUUAUAUAGUAGCAACAAGAUUGAAUCACCAUUUUUAGCUAUUCUUCGGCAGAACUCAUAAUCUAUCAAUGUGUCAGCUCAACAGCAGUUUUCUCUUCGCACUAAUGUGAACCAGAAGGUCCAGCUAUCACUGAUUUUGACAAUUUUAUUUUAUCUGAGAUUGCAUGUUUUGCAGAAGUUUGAAGCAAAUGAAUUAUAGGACCUAUUAUGUUUUCCUAAAGAUGUACAGAACGUAAAAUAUGUCAUCUAAAACAUUUCAAACUAAUUUGUAUCAGAUAACAUUCCUGUGUUAGGUGCUUCAUAAGCCUUACGCUAUAAGCACUAUUAAAUAUUUGUGUGAUAAAUAACAAGUAUAAGAUCAAAUGUGGGUUCUGUAUUUUUUUUAAUGCCUCAGAGUGCCCUCUGUGUUGUUACAUAAUGCAUCAUAAAGAAAUACGUGCCUUCAUUCUCUUAAAAUCACUCCGGCAUGGAUAGUACUAAGCUUUCCUUCCAGUCCUCGUUAUGCAAGUCCUUGCUACUGCUAAUAGCUGUCAGCUCUGCAUGGUUACUUAAAAAACAAGGUAACUGCAGACUUUUUGUGAAGCUCCUUGCAUUUCUGGAGUUUACAGUGAGUUGAUUCCAGGUGCGUUGCUCCUUUUCCCAGCUUUAAAUUAAAUUAUUAUGAACAAGCAGAUUUUCCCCCAUCAGAAGAAAGUCCCACUCAUUCCAGUAUAUCACACGGUAGUCUGUUUUUUUGUUUAGGUGCGUCUAUAAGCAUUUUAUAUUAUAAGUAUCUGAAUGCACUUCAGUGUCAAAACACAGUGGAAUAGACCAGAAUGCAGUAAUAUUUUGAACGUCUGUUGGAAAAUGCAGGCAUAUAACUAAGUACUGAAAGAAUACAUAGCACAGUAAAAAAUCCAUGACCAAUCUAGCAAAGCUAUUAGGUAACAAAAAAAAAUCCAUAUAGGCAUUAAGUACUAUUAUUUAAAGUAAAAUCUCUGUUAUAAGCAGCAUUCAAGUGAAAUUGAUGAGACAUCUAUAUAGAACAGAAAGAAUCCUUUUUGUACAGCCAUGAUGCAACCUUCUGUAUUUCUUUACUUAGGAAACAGAAUUUUACUUGUCUUUUUGUAAAGCCGUAAAAUUAACAGCAAGCUCUUCAGAGAAUUAGGAACACUGCCUGACUUGUGAGAUUUUUUUUUCCUCUGUGAAACACAGAGAUCAUUGGUGGCAAAAAAUCAGGAGAAACCUGUCUGGAUUUUCCAGUGUCAUGUAGAUCUUUUUGAGUGCCCCGUCCUUUAAGAAGGCCUCGGUUUUAAAGGUAUUGACAUGGAAAUAUCUCGAAAUUUGUCAUCCUGACUAUAUACAGAAAAAUUUUGCUCUUCAUUAUACCAGUAGAAGUAUACAAGUAGUAACUCAGUGAUGUGUCACCUAGAAAAGAGGGUUGGUUUCAUAUUCCAUUGAUAGAUUUAUUAGUUUAACAAUGCUCUAUUGCAUUUCUAAAUUUUUUUAAUCUUUUUGUUACUCUCGUAAAUUUGAGGUACUAGCUUAUUUGUUUAUUUCCAUUUUCUUACUUGUAAUAAUUUUGAAAGGUUCAACUAUAUUCUGUUCGGAUUUUAUGACACAUGGAAGAUAUUUUUUUUUAAUUCCUUUUGCAAGCAGUGGGUUGGUGGGAGGAGAUCUACGCUGUAACACAGUAUACCUACGAAAUUGUUCUCCAGAUAUAAUAAGAAAGAGCAGAAUUACAGAAACAAGUAAUUUGUUGCCGAUAUUCAUGCAGUGCUGGUAUUUUAUUUCAAGCUGGAUUCAUCAAACACGAUAAGGAGUAAUUUUUGUCUGAUAUGAAGUUCCCAUCUAAGGAGACUAAGUGGUUUAAGUUUAAACUGUGGUUUGAAAAUACAGGGAAACGUUACUGGACAGUUGAGAGUUUGAUUCAGUAGCCAAAGAGGACGCAAGGAAGUAAAUUGGAGAAUGCUUUUUUUUUUAGCGUUUGAAAUAUGUCAGGAAAACACAUCACUAAUACAUUUCUGUGAAGCAGUUACUUUACCUACAAGAUGGUUUUGCCUAUGAAGCACAAGGAUUUUACCACAAGCGUCUGAAUUAUGUAGGUUAUAAAGGGUUCUGAGGCUGUCAGAAAGCAAGCACGAAAUGUUGAUGUGUGACCCUCAGAUAUUUGAGCGACAUUUACUGACCACUUUUGCAGUAUUUUGUAAGUUCGUAACAUAGUUUUAGUAAUAAAAAUUUAGUGAAAAUCUAUGAGGUAAGCACUGGUGUAAUACUGAUUAGAGGUUUUUUAGAUGGGCCAAUUACCAUAUUUAGUAAAGUAGAAUAAAAAUGAGAUGGCCUGGGACUAAGAUUACUUUAAAAGGGAGAUUUUUAAAAAAAUUAGUAUUGGACUUAUUCUUAGUUAGUAUUAAUUGCUAUUUUUUUAAUACAGUUUUCUCUUUUGUUAAGUUCCAUCACUCUUUGUUCUGAAAUACCGUGUCCCGGCACCGAAAGGGGGAAAUAUAAUGGCUACAAUUAGCUUCUGUUUACUGGAGCAAAAUGAUUUUUUCCCAAACCUAAAUACAUGCAUUAAUUUACUAGACUUCCAGCUAUUUUUACGUGUGGUAUUUCUGAGAAAUAGAUACCGAUGUCCAUUUUAAUGCAGCUUACUAUAGUAUAGCAGCCGAAAUGGAGCGUUUUUUCUCUUUGGUAGUCAGAUAUACAGAAUUGUUGGACUGUUUGCUUGUAAGUACAUUAAAGCUGAAUCGGAAAAAACAUAUUUUUGAUACAAAAAGUUAGGCUUUCCAGUCUUUACUUACUUUUGAGUUUUCUAGGUAAAUGCUGCAUAGACUGAUUAUCAGAAAAAUCGAGGCUUACAUAAUCAAGACAUUCAUUUUUCUACUGCCUCCCUUCCCCCACUUAGCUUUCAUUUUACUAAGAAAAAUGAAAAAUUUUGAGAAGAAACUUACUAUGACAUACUGAUUAUAUACACAUUUUCAUGAGACUGCAUAGCUAAGCUAUUUGUAUGUAUUUAGUAAAAGAAAGCAGCAAGCAAAGUAUUAAAACCUUGAGCUGGCUAAACUUUAAAAUUAUAGUAAAUAAAUACAGCAUUAUCUAAUAUGCUGUACCUAGCUGUGUAGCAAUGAGUCUUUUUUCUUUGCAUGGGGAAUUAGAGUACUUCUAUGUUGUCUUUAUUCAGAAUAAGAAAAAUAAGAACGUCGUACCCCAUUUUUUUAUUCGUCGUAAAGCUGAUGUUCUUUCCUAAGGGAGUUGGUUCAAUACCCAACUUUCAGAGGAUGAGUAGUGAUUGUUAUUGACAAAAUAUAUAUCAAAUGAAUCAAAACUCUGUCCUGCUAGAUAAUUACAAAUUGAAUUAACUAAAAGGAAUAAUAUUAAAAUUUUAUCUAAAUAUGUUAGCAUGAGCUCUUACCCAUAGGUGGCAGUCAUCUUUCACAGUAGCAGGGAUGCCAAACUUUUGGUUCGUGGUAUUCAUACUUAUGCUGAAAUAAUUUUGAUGAGGUAUGCGUAUGUGCAUGUACAUAAGCAUAUACAUUUCUGUAUGUUGGGAGAGGGGGAAGGAGGUAAAAAUAACUGUAAAAUUAAUUAGUAAUUGGGAGGAAUCUGAAUUGCUAUAAAUAAACAAUAAGAUAAGGAAUUAUCAUAUUCUGGAAAAAAGGUCCAGGUAUUUAAAACCACAAAACAUAUUUUUUUACUGUCCAUUGCUGACGCUCAUCUAAAUUAAGUAGUGAUAAAUCAGAAAUGAGCCAGUAGCCCUACAAAUUGAGCAGGAAGACUAGUAUCUUGCCAGCCUGAGAGAACAUGACCCUGUAUCAUGCCUGGUCCUCCAAACUACAUUUCUGCUUCGUCGCCCAUUAUAUGUAAAUUGCAGAACGACCACAGUGAUGAUGGUGCCCUGAAAAUCCCAGCAAUAAGCUCCCUUAAACAUGGAGCAAAUAUAGGAAAGGUACUCUGGUUGCAGGUGUCCUUUCAACCAUGAAGAGCAAGCAAAACCUGCAGGCUGCUGUGCUGUUCUCUGUCUCUUUGCAGAGCUGCCAUUGACACCCGUGGCAGCACGGUGCAAGGGGAGGACGCUGCCUGCCGGAGCAGCUCGGUUUUGCCCUCAGCUUUUUGAGGGAUUUAUGUGGUUUAUGGGGAUUUCCUUUUGCAAUACUGCUAAGGAGACACUUGGGGCCCCACCAAAACCGAAGGGGAUAGAAGGAGCUAAUAAGGCCAAGUCAUCUCAGUCUAAAACAAACAGAACUUGUGAAACUACACGUGUCAUAGUGAGACGAUAACAUUCUUCUAAGAAAAGAACACUGAAACCUGGAAUUCAGGGGUAGGUGAAGUCAUAUUCUUUUUUCUAUUACAGCUACACUGGGACUCUUUUCAGUUAAUAUUAAUCUAAUAUUGUGUCAAGGUAGGCCACUCUACACAUUCAGCAGAGGUCAGGAACUAGCAUUUUACAAAAUGGAAAAUUUGAAAAAUAGACAAUUAUGUGUUGCUUCUACAGUGUUUCACUGUGAUGCAAGAUUAAGGGCUCAGAAUUGAGCAGAAUGGUGCAGUAUUAUUAAAACAGAAGGACUAAUUCUCCUUAUGCAAGAGUCACAGCAACACACAUCAUUGUAUAAGCCAAAGCAGGCUGUAUGAUUUCAUAGCCAAACAGGGUAUUUCCACAGACAGGCAAUCACGACGUGACUAAUUAGAUACUUGCAUAUGCAUGGCCCCAUUUGUUCCCCAACUGUAAUAAUUAGGAGGAUUGCACUCCACGUUAAUUUACACUCUUGUGUAACACUAUUGAAUAUAAGAUAACGGGUGGUGAUAAACUGGCUGGUGACAAAUGUGUAAAUCUGAUACAUGUUUUGAAAAUCAGAGCUUUCAUAGUCUGCUCUGUCCUUGACUUGGGCAGGGCUGGAGAAGACCUCCUCUGCUGUUGGGCCUGAUCCUCUCUGUCACGGGCAUCCAUGUUAUACUCUUCAACUUAAUAUGCAGAGACACCAGACUCCAUCUUGAAGCUACCCCUAUCAUCAGCUGAUUUUAUGUUCCUCUGCAUGGUUAAAAAUUUCAGAUAAUGUGUAUCAUGAUCAGCUGAAACUCUCACAUUCUACAAGGUCUUUGACUUCAGUUUAAAGGGUAUUUCUCUCUCCUGGCAUAAAGUCCAUUCCAGUCUGUCUCCCCUUGAGCUUUCAUAGGUUACUGCCAAAACCUGCUCAGCCUCAGUUCAGCCAACCCAGCUGUGCCAUACCUGUCAUAGAGAGCAGUGUUUUUCCCUGACUGUCCUUCUAGCAUUUCUUUGCACCUUCAUUUCCAAUAAAUCUCUUUUAAUCUGCAGGAUUAGAAGCAGGCACAGUGCUCCAGAUGAGGUGUUGCUAGGGUCUUUCAUGGUGGCAUUAAUACCUUUCUAUUCCUGCUAGAUACACAACAACUAAUAUUUUUUUUUAUUUUUUUAUUUUUGUAUUAGAGCUACCUGCUGUCAAUAUCUCAAAAACCUUGAGGACUGAUUGAAACACCCAACUUACCCUUUUUUUAUGGAGGCUGAUAGCAGAAGUUCUUCAUUCCUAGUUUAUGACCUUGACCUUUGCACUAUCAUAAUGGUCUUACAUUACAAGGGUGUCAAAAGACUUUUUUAUAAAAGAGUGUAAUCAAUUUCAUCCAAGCCACGGGCUUCCUCUGAAUUUCCUGGCAUGUCCAGAUUUGUUCAAGAACCUCUGUGCCUUGCACGACUAUGGACGUGAGCUGGCACACGCACAUGAUACGGUGCAGGGCGUUACAGGUGAGCUAGCUUAGCUCACGAAAGAGUUGUCUCUAGUAUUAGGUUACCUCAGGCACAUCACAGGGUAUUAUUUCAGGUAAGCCUUCCGAAAGCUGUACAGCACUUCUGACUCAGUGUUCUGCACUGGCUUUGUUUGACAGCUCUGGGAGCAAGAAACCAAAUUCUGAAACAUUUUUACAGGAUCAACAGAGGAUAUGGACUUAGUGUCACAUUAUACUGUUUCUAUUGAUCUUGUAGGUUAAUUUUCAGUUUACAGGCGAUGCCCAUGAAAUUGAAGGGGGAAACGGGAUGUACAAGAGUUGUAUGAUACUCUUGAAUAACAUCUAAAAGUAGGAAAUUUUAUUUUUUUCUUAAUAGAAGAAUCUGCAGGAUUUCAGUUGUUCUGCUCUGCUUCUGGAAUUUAAGUAACAUUUUUACUGUCUUUAAUUAAACAAAAAAAAAAAUCUGUUUGGGGUUUUUUUUGUUGUUGGUUUUGGCAUUAGUCCAAUAGGACUUUUGUGCCCUUCGUUAUACAGUAUUCCACCCCCACUUCAUUCAAGCAGUACCCCAACUUUGUGCCCUCAGAUGAUCAUUCCUAGGUUAAGGUAGUCAGUGAAAAUAAUUAGUAAGAUCGGUCUGAGAUAAUUCUUUAAGGAAGUCCACUAUAAAUUUUCCUCUAGUUUGAGACUUUCCCUUCAAAACGACUUUGCAAGCUCUUAUUCAUAUUAAGAGUUAAUUUAGCAAUUGCUGUCUUCCUUAGUUUAUUUUUUUUUCAAGUAGCAUAUUAACAAAUGUUUUCCUGAAAUUCAGAUUAGGUCAACCCAUUUCCUUGAUGUAGAAAAGUAAGGUUUGAUGUUUUUUUUGUAAAUGUCUGACUAGUGUGCCAUAAUCCAUUCUUAGGGAAGCUUAGUAGUGUUUUUCUUACUUUCUAUUUAUCCAGUUUUAUCCUAUGCUUCCUCCCAUCCAAGUUCUUGAUGGACAGUCCCAAUUUUUCAUCCUUUUAAACUCUGAUUACUUCUAAAAUCCUAUUUGAGGUGACUGCUCUUCUGCUUGGAUUCAAGGACCAAGUUUUCCCACCCAGAAAUUAAGAAAGUCAGAACAAAACUUAAAGAUUUUUGCCAUUUUACCUCCAUCUAAAGGAUUCAUGGAGAAGCUCACUCACAGAGAUGAUGAUGAAAUAUGGAUUUUCUUGGGGUCUUUAGCAUGUAGCUGAGAAGACCACAGACAUAAGAGCAUCUAAAUCCUGCAAUUUACUGCUCCAAGAUUUUCAUACUUCCUUCUAGUCCAGCCAAGGGCUGAUCAUAUCCUGUAGGUUCUAUAAAGUCUUAAAAAGAGUGUGAACAUAGCUAAACAACUUGGUUAAGGUUGCUACAAGUUAAAAAGCAUCCUUUAAAAACCUGAAGUUAUACUCAAAUGAAGAAAUCAGAAAAGAACAUCCAUGUGGCGGAUUAUAUGUGUAAAACACUAUCAACUGUAUAAAAAAAUUAGUUUGAGGGAAAACUCACUGGCUCAAGUUACUAAUUUUUAGCAAUGGUUCUAGAGAAAGAUACAGUUAAGUACAGACUAUUAGGCCUGAUAACCAAGCCAGGUGAACUAGUUCAAGAAAAGAAUUAGUGACCAAAUGGGUAAGUAAGGGUGACAUAGGGGAAGAAACAGGCAGCUUUUGCAAAGGGAAGUGAUGCCUCAUGAGUCCCUCUAUAUGGGGAGAGGAGAUCUUGUCGACACACUUAGCAGGAAUUAAAAAAAGACAUUUGACAUCUUCUACCGGAGGCUCUCAAAGGAGUUAAGCUGCACGGGCAAAGAGGCAGCUUCUCACGUGCGCAAACAUCACAUGAAAAGAGAGGAAGCAAAGGUCAGAAAUGAACGUGAUGGGAGUCAAAUAGCAGAGCACCUCCACCAGCAUUGUACAGCAUGCUCAGAAAUGUUCUGUGAAGGGGCAUGAAUAAAAGUUGCAGAGAUUACUGUGAACAUGAAGACAGGAUGAAGGAAGACACUGUGAAGCUGAGUAACUGAGCAACAAAACAGCAGAUGAACCUCAGUGUAGAUAACUUCCCUGUGAUGCACAGGGGGGAAUGACUGGGUCUCAGCUGGCUACUACCCCUCCUGAGCAGUGUUGUGAGGUUCUAAUAAAUGCUUCCCUGCUUGGCAGUGUUCAAAAAGCAAGCAAAACAUUAGGAAUUACAAAGAAAGGGACAGAACAAAAUUUUAAAAAACCCUAUUAUUAUGAUGCUGUGUAAAACUUUUCUACCACUUUCCAAGUCUUGCAUGUGUUUCUUUGGCCUGGCUGCCUUUAGCAUAAAUGCAUGGCAACACAUGUGUUUAAAAAACAUUGCAAAAUCAAAACUAGAAAGCCAAUAUCAGACAAACAAACAAAAAAAUCCCACUGUAGUAAAGGAAAACAACAGUUUGCUUCACAGGUUUCUCCUCCACCUUCAGAAAAGCCAAAAGGAAAAGAAACAGCGUAAGAGGAUAGCCAUGGCACUGCUGGAAACACGCUAAGGGGUGAUGAAGGAAUACUUUGCAAGUUUCAGUUCAGCUUUGCUUCUGACACUCACACUGGUAUUUCUUGACCUCUAAAUGAUCGAGUCCUCUUUCUGCAAGACUCUCCAGGAUCAACCAGAGAACUGAGCAUCACAGAGCCAAGGCACAUCUUACAUCUCACAAAGGAAUUGGGACCAUACGUGGCUGUAUACUCCGGGACAAGAAGCCAAGAAACAUGCCAAAACAUCCUUCAGGUUUGCAGACAUCCAGCCAUGAGAGGGAUAGACAGUUGCUGGAGCACGGGGUACCACAAAGAGGAGAACUUUCUGCACUGGUGUCAUCAGUAAAACAAAACCUAUGGGGCAGGACAUCUUCUCAGAGCUUCACGUCUUGCCAGGAACAGGAGAGAGCAACUUGUUUGCAGUGAGAUGUGUCUGGAGAACGAAUCAGAACAAUGUGCACCUUCUCUGGGGGCAAAGGGAGACACUAGAGAACAGAAGAAAACCAAACACCAGCCUGUCUGAGUUCAAGAAGCAUUUGGACAACACUCUCAGGCACAUGGUGUCCUGUGCAAGGCAAAGAGUUGGACUCAAUGAUCCUGACGGGUGCCAAAUUCAAUCCACUUCUGACAUUUCUAGUACAGCUUCAUCCUGAGACUCUUGGAACAUGGGUCACGGCUGAGACAAGGCAGAGCCAGUGGGAAAAAAAGCUCUGUGGGCUGAGUUGGGCAAACAGAGAUGCCAUGACACAAUGCAGAAGCCGCUGGCAGUGGGAUGAAUCUGUGCACCAGCAAGAGCAGUAUCUACUCCAUCUGGCUUGGGCUCCACAUCAUCCGAGAAGACUUCCUUUUGAACAGGGAGAUUCCAGUCAGGGUGACUCCACCAGUAAAAGAGGUAGCGUCUCAGAUUUGCUUAUCUAAAACUUCUUGAAAGCACCCCUAACUUCCUUGGCAGCAGUAGCCAAACAAGAGCUGUAAAAUACUGUUUUCCCUGGGCUGGUUGAACUUGCAACUCAGCAUAUGUGGUGAAGAGCUCCUAAAAUAGCUCUCAGUUGCCUCACCAGCCUCAGAAGCAACUUGAAAAAUCUUUUGUCUUCUGGGACAACUUGGAGAAGUUUUAAAAUGUUUGGACUUAUUUUGAGAGUACUCUGAAAGAUAAGAAUGAUCUAUUCCAAGGCCAGGUGAACUGAAGGUCACAGCUAAGGCAUUGCACAACACAAACAAGUAGGUUCAGCACAAAACUCACAAAGAAUUUGAUCAGCUCAUCAUUGCUGCUGCUGCUGCCCCUGCCUAAAUUCAGGUCAGAGCUUGACCUGGCACCUCACUGGGCCAAAUGUUCUCAUCUUUUAUGCCAAAUACCAGUGGGGCAAUGCCAAAGAGGCAGAGGACAUGGGUCCUUUCCUGACAGAGCCUUGUUGGAGAAGUCUUCAGAAAAAAAGCCAAGCAAAACAGCUCAAUUUCUGAGUAGUUGCUGCAGGACAAAUGCGCUCUCACUCUGGGAAGGCUAACACACACUUCAUCCUGGUCAAAGAGUAGUCUCUGACUGGAUCCUGUAAUAUUUCAGGCUAUCUCUAGUUAGGACAAAACCUGAAUAGCUCUUGCUUUGUUAAACAAGGGAUAUCCCCAAGCUGCUCUUUAUUGCUGUUCGCGAAGCCUAGCCAUGACUUCAGCACAACAUUCCUGUGGGCUCUGCACGGACAACAUGGAGGCUGUCCCCCUGGAGUCAUUUGAAACCCUUCCCUCCCAUAAGGAAAGGCUGCUCUUUCUUGAAAAUAUAAUUUGCUCCUGCAAAACAGCUCCAAAAACCCAUAUACAUCUGGGACUUCUCAUCAGGGUGGGAGAAGAGAUUUUUUGCCCACGUCUCAUGUUUCUGAGCAUGCUCCCUAGUGUCUUGGCCAGAGCCUUCAGUAUAGCUUUUUGCCGAGUCAGGCUGUUGGUUUUCUUAUCCCAAAUCCCUAACGGGUGGUUUUAAGUACUCCAAGCAUUUUUCAAAGACAGCUUGAAACCCAGCCAAGCCCACAGUGGGGGAGGGAGGGGUAGAGGUGGGUGUGUAACUCUUCUCUGACAGGUCUGCAGUUGGUCUGAUUGUCUCCCAGGUCAGGCGAACUCGUCUGCAAGCUGCAGGGUGCAGCUGCCACCCCAGGGGACAACCCCCCCAUUCCCAAAAUCAAGUCAACUUUGUGAUUUUUUUAGCAGCAGUAAAUGAUCCCACUGGGGGUUAUUUGACCACCAAAACUAUGCUAGCUUGGCUGAAGGGCUGAAGUACAGAGGCCCACAUCAAUAUGGAUUUACAGAUACUAACAGAUGCAGGAUCAGGACCCCUCCCCAGCUCCAGACCCCCCCCACCUGUUCUCACCUGCUGCUUGGAAAUCACCCCUUCUCCAGGUCCUGUGUUUACACGUCUGUCCAUGACACAAUAAAACAGAGGGAAGGCAAAUGUGCAAUGUAGAGAUCCAUUAUGCUUUAUUUACAUGCGUCACCAUCUCUUUUACAAACUAGAUUACAAUUUAAAAUGGAAUACACAAGGCAAUAUCUACUAACACCAAGUGGAGUAAGCACUGCGUCUCUACUUCGUUUGGAAAGGGGCAGGUUUUGCUCCAAAACAAACUUCCUUUCAACCUCUGAGUAGUAAGGUAAUAUAUUCCUCCAGGGCAGCAUCUUUUUUCUUUUUUUUUUUUCUUUUUUAAAUAAAAAAUCCUCAGUAAGACUGCAACGUGAGAGUGUCUGCUUUCAAAUGAAAGUACAAGAUAGCCCAAAUGAAAAGUAUAAACUGUUCAGCUCUUCGGUAUGUAAAGACGGCCAUGCGCAAUAAGGCUGUGGAUUUAAUAUUCUUCCAAUUUACAUGGCUUGAAACAGAAACAGAUAAAACAGUUUUACAGAUACUGUAUACAUAUUUUUUCCAAUCAUGCAACUUUUUAAAAAAAAAGUUUAACAUGUGAAGCCAAAUGUACAAUCCAUUUUUUCCAACCCAUAGUAACGAAAUGUAUCUGGUCCCCCUGUGCAUCUGUUGGCAAUUCUAGAAGCGUACUAGAAACACUUACAGGACACUGAUUGCCAAGCAAUGACAUAAUUUUAGAGAAAUACAUAACCUAAAAGGUAACUUUUUUAAGUGGUGGCACAACAAUUUCUAGAGUUAAACAGUGUUUAACGAUCCCAUUAUUCUCAAGAGAAAUUUUUUUUACAAAAUCAUUAAAUCAAGCCCCAAUCUGUGACUAGAAACUGCAUAAAUAACAGCUUUUUAGACCUUUUGUUUAGACCAAGUGUUCAAAUGAUAACCACGUAAUUGUGACCAUGACUUUUAUCUGUUUUACAUGAUUUCACAAUGAAAACUUCUAGGCAUAAACAUGUUCAAAGACUCAAAGGCCAAAUUUUUAGGUUCCCAAAAUUAGCUAUUCAAGUCUGUAUUUUGACACGUAAGUAAGUGGCCCUUUGAAUUCAGUGAGAUUUAUUUAGCACCUCUGGAGUGAAGGACCUUUGCUGGGCACCUCAGCAGGUGUAGAGGAGGAUGACUUUCCCCUGGGCCUGGGGGGACCUGUCACUUCCCCUUCCUUCAAGAAGUGAUGAGGGCAGAGCAGCUCAACCUCUGUGACCACACUGGAGUCCCCAGUGUUCAGUACCUGACACCAGGCACUUUCACUUAAAAA